UCUUUUCCUUUUUUUCCAGCCGCCGCGGUAAAACGUAGGUCACAAGCGUUGUCCGGAAUUACUGGGUGUAAAGGGAGCGCAGGCGGGAAGACAAGUUGGAAGUGAAAUCCAUGGGCUCAACCCAUGAACUGCUUUCAAAACUGUUUUUCUUGAGUAGUGCAGAGGUAGGCGGAAUUCCCGGUGUAGCGGUGGAAUGCGUAGAUAUCGGGAGGAACACCAGUGGCGAAGGCGGCCUACUGGGCACCAACUGACGCUGAGGCUCGAAAGUGUGGGUAGCAAACAGG
rnacentral:rRNA from 1 species